CCCCCUUAAUAGAAUUCGUCCUCGAAUUCUUAGUUGCGCAAUUGCUCGUCUUCACAACAUUCUCCACUCGUUUCCAUAACCUCUUUACUCUGUCCACCACGGUUCCUUGAGUGUCGUCUUCAAGGUCUCCACAAGCGUCUUCAUAUCUCUUGACUGAGUCGUCCUCUUCCUCUUAUUCUGCCAUAACACCUUGAUUGCCCAUGAUACUAUCUUGUCCAUGAUCGUUCCUGACUUUCUCGAUCUUCGUCUUCCCAACUACUGAUGAAGUCCUUUCCCAACGAAGUCUUGUUUACUCCCAUCUGUCCAGUCCAUACCACAGCCCAGUCCCUCUGAACCU
rnacentral:lncRNA from 1 species